rnacentral:rRNA from 1 species
GCUAUACUGCAAGUCGAGCGGACAGAUGGGAGCUUGCUCCCUGAUGUUAGCGGCGGACGGGUGAGUAACACGUGGGUAACCUGCCUGUAAGACUGGGAUAACUCCGGGAAACCGGGGCUAAUACCGGAUGGUUGUUUGAACCGCAUGGUUCAAACAUAAAAGGUGGCUUCGGCUACCACUUACAGAUGGACCCGCGGCGCAUUAGCUAGUUGGUGAGGUAACGGCUCACCAAGGCAACGAUGCGUAGCCGACCUGAGAGGGUGAUCGGCCACACUGGGACUGAGACACGGCCCAGACUCCUACGGGAGGCAGCAGUAGGGAAUCUUCCGCAAUGGACGAAAGUCUGACGGAGCAACGCCGCGUGAGUGAUGAAGGUUUUCGGAUCGUAAAGCUCUGUUGUUAGGGAAGAACAAGUACCGUUCGAAUAGGGCGGUACCUUGACGGUACCUAACCAGAAAGCCACGGCUAACUACGUGCCAGCAGCCGCGGUAAUACGUAGGUGGCAAGCGUUGUCCGGAAUUAUUGGGCGUAAAGGGCUCGCACGCGGUUUCUUAAGUCUGAUGUGAAAGCCCCCGGCUCAACCGGGGAGGGUCAUUGGAAACUGGGGAACUUGAGUGCAGAAGAGGAGAGUGGAAUUCCACGUGUAGCGGUGAAAUGCGUAGAGAUGUGGAGGAACACCAGUGGCGAAGGCGACUCUCUGGUCUGUAACUGACGCUGAGGAGCGAAAGCGUGAGGAGCGAACAGGAUUAGAUACCCUGGUAGUCCACGCCGUAAACGAUGAGUGCUAAGUGUUAGGGGGUUUCCGC